ensembl:lncRNA
AUUUCAAUUUCAUGAAGCAGUGUCAGAUCACAUGUGAUAUUAUUGUAGGGGAUGUGGCCAGCACAGAGAGAGAGGAUGCAAUUGACGUUCCCUGCCCUGUGUGUCCACCCAUUGAACCUGAGAUUGACAUCCAGCUCAUUGAAGCUUCUGCAAGAACUUAGGUAAUGUGAAAGCUGCCCACUAACCCUUCAGCCUGCUACCGUCAUACUUUUUCCAUCCUUUCUCAUGUAACAUGCAUCUUGUACAAUGUCUUUCCAAACGUAAUAUUUAAAUUACAAGAGCAAGUAUUCUUUUUCACAUUUGUCAAAUAAGUAUUUGAAUUAUUAAUAUUUUGUAAAGCAUUUAAAUUUAUGCAAUUAAUAUAGCUAAU